GGGCCCGUAGUUCAGUAUGGAUAGAAUGCCAGCCUGCGAAGCUGGAUGCCGCCGGUUCAAAUCCGGCCGGGCCCGCCA
rnacentral:tRNA from 1 species